rnacentral:rRNA from 1 species
GAUGAACGCUGGCGGCGUGCCUAAUACAUGCAAGUCGAGCGAACAGACGAGGAGCUUGCUCCUCUGACGUUAGCGGCGGACGGGUGAGUAACACGUGGAUAACCUACCUAUAAGACUGGGAUAACUUCGGGAAACCGGAGCUAAUACCGGAUAACAUGUUGAACCGCAUGGUUCAACAGUGAAAGACGGUCUUGCUGUCACUUAUAGAUGGAUCCGCGCCGCAUUAGCUAGUUGGUAAGGUAACGGCUUACCAAGGCAACGAUGCGUAGCCGACCUGAGAGGGUGAUCGGCAACACUGGACCUGAGACACGGUCCAGACUCCUACGGGAGGCAGCAGUAGGGAAUCUUCCGCAAUGGGCGAAAGCCUGACGGAGCAACGCCGCGUGAGUGAAGAAGGUCUUCGGAUCGUAAAACUCUGUUAUUAGGGAAGAACAAAUGUGUAAGUAACUAUGCACGUCUUGACGGUACCUAAUCAGAAAGCCACGGCUAACUACGUG